CACGGGACCAAUUUGUGUCACUUUAUAAAGAGAAUUUUAUUAAUUUAGCAAGCAAGCAGUACGGGCAAAUGCAGCGCUGGGCGGCCGGGGAGCCUCUGCUCCCCACAACGGCUCGCCCCGCACCUCCCGGUCUUUCAGUUCUUAUACCCCUUCAGUUCCGGACUUUGUUACACUCUCGACGUGCUCUGCAUCUGCACGGCGUGUUGCUAGGGGUCUUUUUUCUGCUGUCUGGUGGUCGUUUGAGGAAAGCUCCUAUUCUUCUUCCUCCGAGGUAGCGUUAACCCUGCAAUAACUUCUCCAAAUAUGGAAACGCAGCCUUCAAAGAUCUCUCAAUUCCACUGUCUACUAAUAGCAGUACAUCCUGCCCUCCUGCCCCACUGUUUCCUGUGACUUACACAAUCCCUGGGACUUUUCCUGAUGAACAAAAACUAUGCUAUUGUCUUUCACGGCAUACAUGCCAUAUCCGUUCCUUACCUGCGAAAGCCAGUCAUCACGUUACCCAUCUAUAACCCAGACCCAAAGGCCUCACGUAUGUUUCUCUCCUGCAGGAGAAGCCAAAGCCCCUGGGUGUCAUUAGCAAGUGGCUGCAGGGCUGAGGGACAGCUCAGGGGCCGCGUCUGAGCUGCUGCUCCCGGGUCUGUCCCUCAGCAGGAGCUGGCUCCUGUGGGGCUGUGGGGAAGGAGCUUCCUGCCAGGGUCACACCCCACAUGAGGCUGCACUGCUGGGGGACAGCCUGAUGGACUGCUGGGUGACAGCCUGUUGGCCAUGCUGGGUGACAAUCUGAUGGACUGCUGGGUGACAGCCUGUUAGCCAUGCUGGGUGACAGCCUGUUGGCCAUGCUGGGUGACAGCCCGAUGGCCAUGAUGGGUGACAACCUGAUGGACUGCUGGGUGACAGCCUGAUGGCCCUGCUGGGUCACAGCCUGUUGGCCAUGAUGGGUGACAACCUGAUGGACUGCUGGGUGACAGCCUGAUGGACUGCUGGGUCACAGCCUGUUGGCCAUGCUGGGUGACAGCCAGAUGGACUGCUGGGUGACAACCUGUUGGCCAUGCUGGGUCACAGCCUGUUGGCCAUGCUGGGUCACAGCCUGUUGGCCAUGCUGGGUGACAGCCUGAUGGCCCUGCUGGGUGACAACCUGUUGGCCAUGCUGGGUCACAGCCUGUUGGCCAUGCUGGGUGACAGCCUGAUGGCCCUGCUGGGUGACAACCUGUUGGCCAUGCUGGGUCACAGCCUGUUGGCCAUGCUGGGUCACAGCCUGUUGGCUGUGCUGGGUGACAGCCUGAUGGACUGCUGGGUCACAGCCUGUUAGCCAUGCUGGGUCACAGCCCAAUGCACUGCUGGGUGACAGCCUGUUGGCCAUGCUGGGUCACAGCCUGUUGGCCAUGCUGGGUCACAGCCUGUUGGCCAUGCUGGGUGACAGCCUGAUGGACCUGCUGGGUGACAGCCUGUUGGCCAUGCUGGGUGACAGCCUGAUGGCCAUGCUGGGUCACAGCCCGAUGGCCUUGCUGCACCCCUUGUGCCUGUGACACCCCGCCAUGUCCAGGAGCAGCCCGAGGUUGGCCCCAAGCAGUGAUGUCUCUGUGGGGACCCAGCCCCUGCAUGAGCCUAGGGACAGCACAGGCACCCCUGUGCAGCCUGCGGGAGCCCUACUCAAGCCAGCCAAAGAGGAGGUGUCCAUGUUCUCUGGUGCCCUGGGCAUGCAGGGGAAGCCCUGGACUGGGAUUUUCCUGCUCUCAGCAUUCUCCAGAGAGCUCCAGGGCCCCCUGAGGGCCCCCCACAGCACUGCCCUGGGUGUAUUGUUCUGCUGCCUGGGUGUAUUGUUAGAGCAAAUGAAGAAACAAGGACAGCAAACCACGAUUCACUCAAACUCAUGCAGUAGAUUGGGGUAAAUACUGCCCUGAGGUGUUUUCUCCUUGGAUCAUGUCACUCGUUUUUCAAUCCAUCAGCCCUGUGUGUUUUGCAGUCUUUCAAAUGCUCGCCUGACCCGCAGAGAGGGAAUCCAGCUGUACCCAGGGCUCACGUGGUUGCUUCACUCCUUGCUGGGGGCUGUGAGCUCCAUCCCUAACCUGAGCCACAGUUUGGCCUCUUCCAGACCAAAAGUCUCCACUCCUUGAAGCCAGGAACCUGUGUCCUUGGGUGAAGAGGAUCAGGAAAGGACAAGGUGGGGAAAAAUACGAGCGGUGAGCUCAGCACCAAGUGUGUGAUUUCCACAGAGGCCCCUCAGAUGCUUCCAAUCCUGGUGUGUUUUGGAGGGAGGGCAUCAUUUCCAGUAUUGAUUCAAAUGACCUCCACAUUAAUCUUUGCAGGGGAUUUUUUUUUUUUUUUUCCUCCAAGAGAACAGGCAAUUUUAGCCACCGCAUCAUCCUGGGGGGAGAGGGACGUGGACAGCUUUGAAGGCACCCAGCUCAAAGCCCGAGUUAUUCUCCCUGCUUUUCCCUCACCACCUCAGCAGCAAGAACACAUAAAUUGUGUGUCAUAGCUGCCUUUUCAUCUGUCCCAGGAGUUAUAGACUGCACACAUAAGACAAUUCGUGUUCCUCUGCAUAAUGAGGUGCCGAGAGUGAUGCCCCAAAGAGUCCCUGCUAGUGGCUUCUCUCCAGUUUCAGAAUUCCAUCAGAAAUCCAUUACCAAAUGCAUAAAAAUCCAUGGAUUUGUAAUAAAAUGAGCCCCCUAAAGCUCAGAAAAUAGCCUGGCUGUCUCCAUAAAUCCUGAUGCACGUGAUUAAAGAAAACAGAGCAAGAGCGUGUCUCAAUUCGUCACAGGGUCAUUUUGGACAUCCACUAUUUUCUGCAAAAUUGACAUUAAUUAAAGGUUUGCUGGUCUCAGCAGGGUUUUCAUCGCUGCUGUAGCUGCUGUGUGUACCAGAGUAGGUAAUGCACUUCCCAUUGGGAAUACCCCAUGUGCUUCUGGAUUUAUUUGAGCCUACACACAGAGCUUGCUGGGUGCUCUGCAGCCCCCUGGGAUGUGCAGGAUUCUGUGGGAAGUCUCUUGGGAAAGCAGCUUUCCUAGGAGAUGUGCAAUUUUUAGCAGGGUGGAAAAUUAGAGCUGUGUAAAUCCUGCAGGUAGCUGGGAAGAGCCUUCCCCCAGUGCCAGUCCUGAGGGGCUGAGCAUGGAUCUGCCCAGGGCUGGGGGAGGGUCACCAAGCUCAGUCCUGGUGGGAUAUGCUCCUCUUGGUCUCACAUCUCCCCAAAUGCCCCUUUUUGUGCCUCACCUUCCCCUCCCACCACCUCCUGGGCUUUGCUCUUUGCUUUCUGGUUUUCUAUGACAGCAUUAUUUCUAGGCUGGUCUAACAAGGGGAGUGCUCUGUCCUGUCUUGCAGUGUUCGGGGUCAUCCAGGGCGGGCUGUCACCUCCACUGCAGAAGCAGGGGUGGGGUUAUCAGCCUUUCACUUCCCACCUGAUUUACAUCUCAGAGACAUACAAAAAACCAAGGCAACGGUGCUGCUGGACAGAGUAGUACAUCAAAAAAUGCUCAGGCUCAGGCUCGGACUCAACCAGCUCUUGAGAGGGUCUGAUAUUGAACUCCAUAUUAAUUUUAAGUGGAUCUGAGAAAACUGCGUAGGUGGGAAAAGGCAGAGAAUUUUGACUGCUGUUCUGUCUUCCAUCAUCCUUUUCCAGCGUAAUUAACUCAUCACAAAUAAUUCAGGCACUGAGUUCUUCUCUUCAUUUUCCCUGUGAUCAGCCAACAAGUGCUGAAGUUUCUGAGUUUAUUCCUUGUUUCAAUUUACUCACUGAAUCAUUGUUGCUGUUAAGUCCCCAAAGGGAGGAGGAGGCUGUUCCUCAGCAUCUCGCUGUGUGUGCCAGCCAGAGCUGGAGAUCUGGGCCAGACUGGUUAGUUUUGGUCAGAUCUGGAGUUUGCUCCUUUGAUUUGAUGAGCACAAAACCUAGAAAAGACUUUUAGGGGAAAGUAUUACUUAAAAUUUGACUUGCCACUAAUGUGGCAUUGGAUUGGCUCCCAGCCUGCCCUGAGAUUUCUGUGAUGUCAGUGUUAGUCUUCCUAAUUCUCCUCUGAUUUUAUGGUUCUCAGAUGGGUGUAGCAGCCUGGUUUUCUUCCUGCCUGCAGACCACUUCUCCAGGAUAUGAUUGAGAACUCAGCUCUGGGCAUCAGCACAGCCAAAGGGAACACCCCCUCCAUUCCAGCAGCUCCAGGGUUUCUACCUCCUUGUUGUGAGGCGCCUUUCAGAGAAGCAUCAUUCUCACUGGAGUGGCAGCUGAUUCUUCCCACUAAUCCAGAGCUGAGAUAAAACCUCAGGGAAGCUGCAGAGCUGCAGGACCUUCACGGCCAUAACUCUUCCCUCUGCAAGUAUUUAUGUUCUCGAGACUGAUUAAGCUGGGUUUGUGCCAUUCCUCACACUCCUUGAGGGACUCUCCUCCUGCAGAGGGUGACAUCUCCUGGGAGCAGCAGUCAGGGAUCUGGGAUGUCAGGGAGUGAAAGCUGAGAGAUCACCAGGAAUGAUCUGAGGUGAAACCUGGUGAGCAAAAAUCUGAACUCGCCAAAAUCCAGCAAAGUUAUUCCCAUGCCAUCGGAGCUUUUGGGGUGGUUUCUCUAAGGAUGUGUAGGGGGGACUUAAAUCUUCCUUUGAUUGUUCCUCCUGGUCAUAAAGACAGGUAAGAUAUUUCUGUGGAAAACACCACUGCUGGAUGUGUCACCUCUUACUCAGGAUAUCCCUCAGGGACAGGGCAGCAACAAAAUGCAGCUAGAACUGGGUAAAAGGAGAGGAGAGAGAAGAAGAAAGUCAAAUGAAAAUAGGGAAGAGAAAAGCUGCAGGGUCCUGCUCCCUCAGGUCCCUGCUGCCAAGGCAGCACCUAGGCAGGCACAACAAACUGGCUGGGGCUGCCACAUGGGAUGUGAUUAACAGAAAACUGUAUUUUCCCCUAACACUUUGAGUUAAAGUCUCUUCCCAUAGCCUGGAGAGCUGCUCACACUCAGAGGGGUAUGUGGGGCUGCCCUGGGUGCUGGCUGGGGUGGGUGGCUCCAAGGGAUGCUGCUGUGCCCAAAGGAGUGGAGGUGCCAGGGGUGGGCCAGCCCUGGGAGCCAGGCUGUGCCAGCCACAGGCAGCAGCGCUUCUCCCUUCCCUCUCAUCCCUCUGUACACGUCCUACUUCUUCAAAGCUCCUGGCCACCCCAGCUCCCGACUUCCCUCUCCUUUCUCCAAAGUGUGACAUUCCCACCAUCUGUAAGGCUGCCAAACAAGCGAUUUUGCAUUUCCCUGCAGGGCUGUGCUUCAAUUAAAAGCUUUUCUUGAUGUUUUAACUUUCACCUCGCUUAAUUGAGGUUCCCUUUCCCAGCCUCCUCCUCCUUUUUAAUGAGAGGCUAAAAUGCUGGUUAAUAGUGUUUGCAACGGGCAGCACCAACUGUGCUUCAGAGGGCAAAGGCUGCUCCUGGCCUGGCUGAAAGUCAUGGAGUCUGGAACAAAAGCCACUGGAAAAAUAUAGGAUCCAGGCCACAGAGCCAGUGAUCCUACCCUUUUACAAGCUCCUGGGCUUCCUCACUCAGCACUUCAGCUGCAGCACUGCUUCUUUCCUUGUUGGAAAAACAAGGGUCCAAGUGAUGGAGCCCAGUUGGGCACAACCAGGUGCUGCUCAGCCUGAAGUUCCCCUUCUGGAGCAUCACUGCAGCACUACCACCCCCAAAUAUUUUAGAAGCGUGGGCUGGGUUAAAUGUAGUGAAAUUAAAAAAAAAAAAAAAAAAAAAAAAAGGCUGUACAACCUCUUUAAUUUGCCUACUAAUUUAUGAGCAGGUAAGCUGCUCCCCUGUCAAGCUUUUCUUCACCAAAAAAAAAGGUUAGAAACACUUAAUAAAAAAUACUGAGCACUUCAGAAAUCCUACAAGUCCUUGUGCAGGGGUGGGGAUGAUUUUUUGUGAAUUACUCAUGUUUUAGAGAGGAUAAUGCAUGUGAAACAAAGCACACCUUUAUUUUACAGCCAGCCUAGGCUGUGUUCAGGAGGCUCCCAUUAGGUACAUUCAGAGCUGCUCAGUGGUGAAACCCAAUCUUCUGAGGAAAGAAGGGACUGGAAGCUUCCAGGGAAUUUCCCUCAUGCUGCUGGGAGCUGGGGAGGAAGGCAGAGCCAUCACUGAGCUCUGCAGGCUGGUUCCUCCCCAGCCUCUCCUGGCCCAGCCCUGCUGGUUCCUGCCAGUGCCCCCAGGUUGCUGGGAAUGGAGCAGCUUUGGACUGGGGUGCACGGGAGUUUUGGAGGCUCAUUGCAAAGGGUUUCCUAGAUCCAAGGCUGAUCCCUGCUGCAGGCACAGCCCCAUCUUCCUGUGGCAGGUCCCCCAGCUCCUCCCCAGAGCGGCUGCACUCGCUGAGCCGCUCCCAUCCAAGUGGUGCCAGAUGUCCUUGAAACUCCGCCAAGGGAAGGGACAAAUGUCUGCAAAAUCACUCAUUUCUCACUGUCCCGACCAUUUUAUUUCUCCUCUCAUGCUUGUAAAAGCUGGGACCCUCCUCGCCAGCUCUGCAGCAGUUUGAAACCCGAGCUGCUGUGCUGGAACACUUCCACAACUUCAGCAUUGCAUUGCCUCACAGCGCCGUGGUGCGGGAUUUGGGAGGGAAGAGCAGGAGCUGGAGCAGAAGGGCGGCUCGGAGCCCAUGCUGGAGCCACGCAGAUGGACGAGCAGACGCUGCCAGGGGGGAGCCACGGGCUGGCGGUGAGGAAAGAGGGGCCAGCAGGGCUGGGGGAGCACAGGAGCUGCAGCCAGGAGCAGGAUUUCCCAGCCCCGAGGGCUCACAGUGCCCACAGGGAUUUUGGCUCUUCGUGCCAGCGCAAAGCCAGGGGCACGCUGGCUGGAGGAGCCCGGCCCUGGCUCAUCCGAGGUGCAGGAAUGUCAGCACACUGCUCUGUUUCGGGUCAGUUCUGGAGGAGGUGCACACAUAUUUUUGUAGACAAUAAUUUCAGUUAACAGAGAGAAAGUCGGUUUUAUUGGGGCAUUUAGGAGGACGUCUGCCAGCAUGAAUAAAUGAGUGCUCUUGCCCAGCUCUGGGGACAGGCUGGGCAUGGGGCUGAGGGCACAACCUCAGUGGGCUCAAUGGACCACAUGCCCACCACCCUCUGCUCUGUGGGGGCUCAAAGCCUGGCCAUCACCAGAGCCACUGAGAAAAAUGCUGGUUUUACCUUUUACAGAUCAUUUAACGCCCUAAUGAGAUGCCUUAAAAAUACAAACGAGCCACCUGAUACGGCGGGAUGCAAACCUGUCUCCAUGGCAGUGAUUUUCCUGAAGAUGCUUUUCAUCUCUGGCUGCUGGAAGCUUUGACGUAAAAAUUUAUCGUGCGCCCUCCUCUAAUAAAAUGUGAUGGUUUUACUGUA